UCACCUGCUGCUCCACCUCACCUGUUCCUCAUCUCGUCAUUAGUGUCUGUGUAUCUAGUCUCUGUGAGUUUGUUGCUUCUGUUGGUGUGAUGUUCCUACCGAGUUCCUUGUGUCUCCAGUCUCCCAGUGGUUCGACUUCUAGAGGGCUGCCAAGCCUGUGAGCGCAUUUUGAGACUGAAUUUCAACACUUACAAGCCUGUCACACUCUGGAUGUUUUUUCAGGAGACCUUGGUGGUAUUUCCAGGACGUGGAAAGGCCCAGAAAUAAUGGAACCAGGCGUACCCCUGAGAUCCCAGGAUCAGUAUGACACUAUUGAAACACAUCUGAAAGAAAGGUUUUAAGGAAAGGGGGCAAAGAGACUGCUCAGAAUGUCCAACAGUGUAAAACCAGUAACUCUGAGAGCUGUAGCCUCAGGUUUGUCGGUGAGAACACAACAUCCACACUCUUCUGGCCCAUUCUCUGGACUCUUGUGACCCAGCACCCGUUCAGUGUGUAACAGUGAAUUCAUUUAUUUAAAUGUUUGUGUUACAAAGGCUGUGAAACAGUCUUGGCACCCCUGCUGAGACAACUCCUAACAAUUAUAUUAAAAUCAGAUAAUGUGACAUGUUGGUGUUGGA